UGAGAGAUCUCGGAUUGCGUGGUGGAAACUAAGGAAGAAAAGAUUCCAUUAUUAUAUUUGUCUUUUUGUUUUUUAUUAAUAUUAUAAAAUCAAUUCAUUGAAAAAAAA
rnacentral:ribozyme from 13 species